rnacentral:misc_RNA from 1 species
UAGUUUUUCCUGGGGGAAGGGAA